CGCACAUGCUCUGCAGGGGUAGUUCCUCUCAUCCUCUCACCAAGAAAACUCAGCACCAGAAAGAGAAGAGGUUUGUGGAAAAGACAACAAGUUUACUCUGGGAUGUGUUAAUGCAAUGGGCUGCAUGUGUUCACCCCUCCCCAAAUCCAUGUGUUGAAAUCCGAAUCCCCAACAUGAUGGUGAGGAGGUGGAGGCUCUGGGAAGUGAUUAGGUCAUGAUGGUGAGGAGGUGGAGGAUCUGGAAGUGAUCAGGUCCUGAUGGUGAGGAGGUGGAGGAUCUGGAAGUGAUUAGGUGGUGAUGGUGAGGAGGUGGAGGAUCUGGAAGUGAUUAGGUCGUGAUGGUGAGGAGGUGGAGGAUCUGGGAAGUGAUUAGGUCGUGAUGGUGAGGAGGUGGAGGAUCUGGAAGUGAUUAGGUCAUGAUGGUGAGGAGGUGGAGGCUCUGGACGUGAUUAGGUCGUGAUGGUGAGGAGGUGGAGGAUCUGGAAGUGAUUAGGUCGUGAUGGUGAGGAGGUGGAGGAUCUGGAAUUGAUUAGGUCGUUUUGGUGACAAGGUGGAGGAUCUGGAAGUGAUUAGGUCGUGAUGGUGAGGAGGUGGAGGAUCUGGAAGUGAUUAGGUCGUGACGGUGAGGAGGUGGAGGAUCUGGAAGUGAUUAGGUCGUCAGGGUGCAGCCCUCCUGAAUGGGAUUAGUGCCCUUAAACCAGAGGCCCCAGAGGCAUCCCUGGCUCCUUCCACUAUGAACCAGAAAGUGGGACCUCACCA
rnacentral:lncRNA from 1 species